rnacentral:rRNA from 1 species
UACGUAGGGCGCAAGCGUUGUCCGGAAUUAUUGGGCGUAAAGAGCUCGUAGGCGGUCUGUCGCGUCGGUCGUGAAAACCUGCAGCUUAACUGUGGGCUUGCGGUCGAUACGGGCAUGACUGGAGUUCGGCAGGGGAGACUGGAAUUCCUGGUGUAGCGGUGAAAUGCGCAGAUAUCAGGAGGAACACCGGUGGCGAAGGCGGGUCUCUGGGCCGAUACUGACGCUGAGGAGCGAAAGCGUGGGGAGCGAACAGG